GGAGCUCAGAGAAGUGAGAGAUUCCAUGACUUUCCCACCAUUUCCCUGGCAUGUGAGUGAGAUACCGACCGACCCUUCAAAGGUUCUGUGGGCCCUGGAGUCUCUGGCCUCCCAACACCUUCUCGCUGAUUGCUUGAGCCAUUUUCACCGGUUCCAACAGCCUGGCUGAUUCUGGAAGACUCCCAGCAUUCCUAGUUGCACCACAUCAUCUGUCCACAUUUUAUGUGAGCAAAUUGGGGCAAAUGUCUGCACUGAUUGACAGACAGCUUAGGCAAGUGUGGUUCUUACGAGUCCGAGUCCCGUUUACUCAGCUUGCCUGCCCAUAUUCACAGCAAUUUACCAAGCACUUCCGAGUGCUUGCUUAGAUCCCUCAACACUUCUGUAAGCUUAGCUAGAGAGAGUCUGUCCAUGUUUCUGAGAAAAGCAAAGCUCUUAAGGAUACAUGACUUAGCUGAGGGCACAGAGCUCAGAAGUGGAGGUAGCAGGGUCAAGCUCCUUCCUUGCCUGGCUUUUGGCUUGUGUUGGAGCCCUGCCCCCACAACUGCAGCCUCCAUAGAUGCCUGGCUCUAAGUGCUCUUGAGUGAUAACUGCAGCCAUCUGGGUGACUUGCACUGCGCAGGGAGACACAGACACCUUUCUAUAAGUAUAUAUUGGAAGGACAUGCCCCUCCUUUAUUUCCAAAGGGCAGAAAGGGACCAACAGAGUCGACUCGAGAAGAUAGACGCCCAGAGAAUCAUGAACUCAACCUUUAUCCUAAAGGGAAGGCACUAGAACACCUUUUUCUUUUGAAACACGGUGUAGCCCAGGCUGUCCUGGCACUCACUCCGUAGAGCAGACUGGCCGCAAACUCAGAGAUGCUCUUGCCUCUGCCUCCAAGUGCUGGGGUUAAAGGAAUAUGUCACUAUGCCCAUUGAAUUUCUUCACAAUUAAGUCCUGACAAGUAGGAAGGCUUAUUCGACACUUUCAGGAUUACAGAAUGGUAACAUGCUUGAUGGUAGAAUGCUAGGACUUUUCAGAACCAAAAUGGGCGAGUAAGGGUAGCUUUAAAAAUAGAAGUACAAACAACAUCCCGUGGAUGGCAUAGUGUUGCAUUUCCAAGUACAGAUAACUGAUGCCUACACUCCAGGAUUUGCUCAGUCACGGAAAUUCAAGUGGUGAGGCACCCUCAGUGCUACUCAUGGUUUGAGAAAGAGAAAAGGAGAAAGCAGCAGGAAGGGGGCUACCUACAGGGUGGCCUCUGGGGGACUGCAGCUGUGAUAGAGUGCUAGAGACUGUUUGCACUUUCUAGAAAGGCAAGGCCGUUUGCUUAUUGCAGAAAGAACAGCUGGAUUCACUCGCUCUGUGACUUACUUAAUCUGUCUGUAGUCAGUUUUUUCUUUUGUACUUUUUAAUUACUAAGAGAAAUUUGGCAACUUCAACAGCUUUGGUAUUUUGUGUGCAAAUCAUAAUAGCUCCAGUGUGAAAAAUCAAAGUGUCACCUGUCACUCUGUUAGGAAUUGCCUAAAAUGCAGUUUAAUAAAUGAUCUUUGUACCAAAUGGUUAUGUAAAUGGAGUAAUUUUCUGCAAGGAAAAUGUACUGUUUUUAUGUUUCCAACCCUCCUGAAUUAAAAUAAAAAACACCUUGUUUUCU
rnacentral:lncRNA from 1 species